UGCCCGUCGCUGAUUGGUCCACUCCGCUGUCUGUUUUCUGUGGCUUGCUCCGCCCUGGAAAUUUGAUCCGCUCAUUGGUCGCCAGACUCUAUAGCUGGAACAGCGGUGAGUCUGGUGUACCAGGCUAAUGUUUUGUAGUAUCCAGGCAAGCUACUUCAACGUGUAGCCGUAGGGUUACCUGUAACAUAGCUUUUCUGACACUAUCCACUUGGUGCAAAAGUGGGAUGUGGCUGCUUUGAAGGAUGGUCAUAAUCAAAACAACCAAUGAAGACACUUGUGUUGAACGCUUUUGUUUGGAGGCGGUAUUUAAAAGAACAUGGCGUCACCCGCAACACCGUGUACAGGUGGAGGUCGAAAUGUAAAAUUAAUGGUCGGAUGACAAGCUUAUAGCGCUUGGUUUGGGGCGUUGAUAUUCAAACGCGGCCAGUGACCGAACAAAGCACAUAGCCAUAUUUGUUAAUUUUCAGAAUUUCCGAAACUCAAAUGCGACACACGAACGCAUCAAGAUGGUCUUCUGAACUAUUUUCCUCCCACCUCUGUACAUCCCUGGCCAUCUUUUACAGCCACCUUAUCCACAUCAGCACAAAGUCUAAGCCUGCCAAGUCUUCCCACACACAAACUGCCAGUGGAAAAAGAAGUACAGAGGCAGUCAGCAUGGUGUGCACCAUUUCCUGGUACAAGGCGGGUACAUGAAUGUCCACGUCGAUGUCUGUGGUCACCAACUCCGCGCUCUCGGGGCUCCAGAAGUCGAGCUACAAAAUGACAAUUGAGCUAAUACUACAAUACGCCACGGAUGAAGAUCGUGCCAUAGCCGUAAAUUCUCGAGCCAUAAAUCCUCGAGAGGAAACCUGAGUGAGUGCAAGCGGGAUUCAUCCACACAAUGAUGAUGACAACCUGUUAAAAAGCAGCACACCCUCUGCUUUGUCUAUUUAAGUUUUAACAGGUGCGGAGAAGUGGGUCACAUUCACCCUCUUACAUGGGCCACCCUUUCCGAAGUUGCCGCAGCGUUAAUGAAUCAUGAUGGAUGAGGUAUCUGUCAGCAGCCACAGCAUGGACAAACGAGGAAAGAAAGGAAAAACAAACACACUUGGAGGGGGGUGUAAGUCACAGUCCGGCCGGGUGACUUUGGGGCGCUCAGGUGUGACAGAGUCAUCGGUUUACAAAGGCGACAGUGGGUCAAAGGAACCAGGUGAGAGAGUUGUUUGUGAAUUGGUGUACCCGAGGCCUCUUCAGUCUUUAUGCCUGUCAUUAGUCAGGUCCAUCCUGAAACUCGGCAACCGAGCCAUUUACACCUCCAGAGUCUCGUAUAGCCUCCAUUACGCUUGUCAAUUAAGAAUUCCCUCGUUAGACGUGCCACACGUUCUCCGGGCUAUCAAACAAUGUGGAUCUGACCCGCAAGAACUCUCAGGAUGUCAGUUAUGUAUCGAGCAGUGAAUCUCCAAGAGCUGCUCUUUACAAAACAAAUACUUCUCAGAGGGGACAGGAUGUUGUUGCAAUACCAAGAGCAGCGCACAAUACUGAUAUACACCCCUCGGGUACGAGAAAAAACAGAUGGCGACGAUUUAAGAGUGAAGAGAAGAUUGCAGAAAGGUUUUGUUUUUGUUGUUCCUCUCGAGUACUUUUUAAAUUGAUGGUCAGGGUUCAGUUCAGGUUUGCAAUGUGAAACGUUAUUCUGUUGCCGCUUUCAAAUUAACACUGUUAUUCAACUCGGCACCUGCAGUAUGACCUCUGAAGUCGAACGCAGCUGAAAGUAAGGAUUCGGACAAGAAUGUUGCAAUGCAUAAACCUUUAAAGUCAAACUGUGACAGUUCAUUAGGAAGUGAUGAAAAACCGAAUGUUCGGAAUACACAUUCUCAAAAUUAAGUUAAAUCUUUAACUUAGACAGCACCACUUUACAUACCUGAUAUAUACAAUACAGUAUAUAUUUGACAUCAAUCAAUUAGCUGUACAAGAUUUAAGUUUAAAGCUUCAAUUUUGACAGCACUUAAUAUAUUUUCGCUACUCACCAUGAAUCAAAGCAUCACUGGCACCAUGAACGUGCAUGUGUACUGCAGGGCUGCUAGUGACACCGGGGAAAAACAGUACUGAAAAGUCACGCGCAAACAAACACACUAUACAAACAAGGAUUUGCAAUUGUAAAUAUUAAACAGGUUUAACAUUUGCAAAUUGUUGUUGAUCGUUUUAAUCAUCAUUAUCACCCUUUUCACUAUCACUCUUAACACAUCUUAAACUGCAGGAUGUAAUGCUCAAAUUUUAGACUCAUCAAUCAUUAAGAGUGCACAAACUCAGUUCAGUUUCCUAUAAUUGUAGUUCUGCACACAAUGGACUAAAAUUCAACUCGAAAUUUGACAGAGACUUACAGAAAAUACUCUAAAAUUGCAACACCAACAGAGGUGAGUUCAAACUGCCUUCAUGACUUCAAGCGAGACCUUAGGGUCCGUCACGAUACCUCAGUUUCUCUAGCCAAACUAAAUGAGGUUGAAAGGCUUGACUGUUAUAUUGAACAAGUCGGCAAAUCCUGCAAGGCCAUCAAUUUCCUCCACUCCUUAUCCUGUCAAAAAAAACAAAAAAAACAGCCAACAUCAUAUCUCUGGUGCUUGGAAAUCAUUGUCAGUGACGGACUAUUCAGAAUAUUUUUUAUCUCUGUACACGUUCCAUCUGAAAGACGGUAAAGAGGACAAGACUCAAAUGUAGGAUGUUUGUCAUCGCCUGGAGGCGUGAUGCUUCGACCAUGUUCUUGCUAAUCAGAUCCCUUUGACGUGAUUAGCAGCGUUCACGCUUAAGCGGCCGUCCAGUGACGAUUACGGGCAGAGGCGACCUCAUUUUCGAAAUGCCAAAUUGUUUCCCUCAGCCACCUGCCGAAGGAAAGAUGAUACCCUGCAAUGUGUGACCAUACAGCGAACAUCUCAAGUACAGUGAUGCCCAUCCGUGUGUGGAAGCGGAUUCAUGCCACUGGAAGUGUUCUUGUCUGAGAUGCCGGCGACUUUCUCCCUCUCAAAUUUCCAGGCAAGUUUUUGGCCUUUUGAACGAUGGCAUCAAUAUGCAAGCUUCGUUUUUCCUUAUUUGGAGAGCCCACUAAGUACAACGACGAAACAUCACUGAUCAGAUGGCUCAUCCCAAAACGGGAAAUAGGAUCACCUGGGAUAUACCUGUGAAGCUGCAUGAAAGGUAGGCUUGUAUUCUUUA